GACGAACGCUGGCGGCGUGCCUAAUACAUGCAAGUAGAACGCACAGUUUAUACCGUAGCUUGCUACACCAUAGACUGUGAGUUGCGAACGGGUGAGUAACGCGUAGGUAACCUGCCUGGUAGCGGGGGAUAACUAUUGGAAACGAUAGCUAAUACCGCAUAAUAUUGAUUAUUGCAUGAUAAUUGAUUGAAAGAUGCUAUUGCAUCACUACCAGAUGGACCUGCGUUGUAUUAGCUAGUAGGUGAGGUAACGGCUCACCUAGGCGACGAUACAUAGCCGACCUGAGAGGGUGAUCGGCCACACUGGGACUGAGACACGGCCCAGACUCCUACGGGAGGCAGCAGUAGGGAAUCUUCGGCAAUGGACGAAAGUCUGACCGAGCAACGCCGCGGGAGUGAAGAAGGUUUUCGGAUCGUAAAGCUCUGCUGUAAGAGAAGAACGGGUGUGAGAGUGGAAAGUUCACACUGUGACGGUAUCUUACCAGAAAGGGACGGCUAACUACGUG
rnacentral:rRNA from 1 species